rnacentral:rRNA from 1 species
GGGUGAGUAAUGCCUAGGAAUCUGCCUGGUAGUGGGGGACAACGUUUCGAAAGGAACGCUAAUACCGCAUACGUCCUACGGGAGAAAGCAGGGGACCUUCGGACCUUGCGCUAUCAGAUGAGCCUAGGUCGGAUUAGCUAGUUGGUGAGGUAAUGGCUCACCAAGGCGACGAUCCGUAACUGGUCUGAGAGGAUGAUCAGUCACACUGGAACUGAGACACGGUCCAG